ensembl:lncRNA
AAAAAAAAAAACCUACCUGAAUGCUAGUUUUAGGGGUUUUUUUGUACUACAUUCUGUUCACAAUCUCAUGUAAUGUAACUUCAGGUCAUGGUAGAAUCUAGUAUUAUUUUUUUUCUUUUCUUUAUUUUACCAUAGAUAGAGGAGCAUAGGCAUGCAAACAGCUUUCCGAACAGAGUCAUUGGAUGUCAUCUUUGUUUAGGGAACAUUGGUUGUUUUUGCAUUGUUGCUCCACAAUGAGGGUUUUUUUCUGUCAUGGGUACAAAACUCCUCACUUGGUUUGCAGUUUGUCUCCUGCAUAUAUAUGAUGAUGUUUGCUCAGCAAUUUAGCUUAUAUUGAAUUUAUAUUUUGGAAUAGAAGAACAACACAGAAUUAGAGGUCUGUAUUUCAGACAUUUAAAUUUAGUCUAGAUGACUUCCACUUUGGAAGUUGCAACUACUGUCACAAGCAGCAAGCCAAAGGAGCACUGAAAUCUUAGGAGCAGCAGUUCUGUCUGGUAUGUAUUCAAUCCUUCUUGUACAAACACUUCAGUACACAGAGAAAUCUGAUGUGAAGACUAUACUGAGGACACUGAAUCAGUCUUUGAAAAUACCUACUUUUUCACUGACCAUAGAAGGAAGAAAGGUUUACUUGAGAGGACGUUUUACAAGAGCUCAUCCUAGUGUUAGGUGACAGAACUCCAACCUUGACAAUGAAUCUCUACUCAAUACUACAAUAAGCCACAGAGAGUAUGUACAGAUUCCUGCAUCUGCAAGAAAAAUGUACACACUGGACAAGAAUCUCUGCUAAACAAAAGGGAUAAAAUAAG